CGAAAAGUACUAUCAAUUAAAUAAAAUGGUGAAACAAAAGAAUAGCGAAGAAGAAGCAAAUGCGCUUCACGCUAAUUCCAAGUACCAACACAAAACAAAUUCAAUGUUUGGUGAAGCAACUUGCUUAGUGGCGGACGGGUGAGUAACGCGUGAACAAUCUGCCCCGUACAAAGGGAUAGCCUCGGGAAACCGGGAUUAAAACCAUAUAACACUUAACUGCCGCAUGGUAGUGAAGUCAAAUCGAUUAAGAGGUAUGGGAUGAGUUCGCGUCUGAUUAGCUAGUUGGUGAGGUAAGGGCUCACCAAGGCGAUGAUCAGUAGCCGGCCUGAGAGGGUGAACGGCCACACUGGAACUGAGACACGGUCCAGACUCCUACGGGAGGCAGCAGUGGGGAAUAUUGCACAAUGGAGGGAACUCUGAUGCAGCGACGCCGCGUGAGUGAAGAAGGUCUUCGGAUCGUAAAACUCUGUCCUUGGUGAAGAAAAGGACGGUAGCCAAGGAGGAAGCCCCGGCUAACUACGUG
rnacentral:rRNA from 1 species